GAAAGAAACAAGAAACAGAAAAGAACAAUUUGAAGAGAACCUGAAUUUACAAUCUGGGAGCCAGGGAGUAAACAUUGCACUGUAAGCUGAUGGAGACUGAGAACUAGCAAAUUUCGGACCUGUCCAGAGUCAGCCUGUGAAUUUAAAUCAGAGCUGGGGACAAAAGAAAAACCUCACUGUUUCGAAGCUGUGGACACUGGGACAUCACAAGCUCAGGCUUCCCGCUUAAGGAUGGAACUCUGCAUAGAGCGAUGUCAACUUCUUGAUCAACGGAGAAUCCCAUGUUGAAUCUCUCUCGAAGAUAAUUUACUCCAAGUAAAAGAUUUUCCUGUUAAGUAUUACUUAUGAUUGAACAAUAGGU
rnacentral:lncRNA from 1 species